rnacentral:lncRNA from 1 species
AGCUAUACUAUAUUGUUUAGAAUAAUAUGUUGUAAUGGAUAUCACGAUAUAGGUACGUAUUAAUAUAUUGUAACAUGUAUAACUGAAGGUAUUAUAAACCUCAUUACAUGGUUCUCCUUGAUAGCUAAAAUGCCAUUUAAGAUAAUUAGCAAUCUUAUCUAUAUCAUAAUAUUAUCUAUGUACACGAGGCAGCGGUUUCUUCACUACGAGAACAACAACUUUUACUCCCACACCCAGGGCACCUGCGAGUUCCAUACGCCGAUCAGAUCAAAGGAGCCGACAUCGUAUAUAGGAGGGACAAGAGCACAGCCUGAUCAGAUGUACCUGGACCAUAGUCCAUAGAAGCCUUUACACCACUAACCAUCAGAUCCCCGAAGGGCUGCACGUAACACUGGCGCAGUCGGAGUGGAUUUCAUUCAAAGGAGACAACCGUCAAAGGCUACAGUCAACAAGGAGCAACUGAUCAUUCAUCCAAGGCGACAACUCCGAGAAAGAACCAACAAAAACAUUAAGUCACGUUGCAGCACCAUCGAAUCCAUACAUAAUGCCAUCAGCAUCGAGGAACACCACUUUAUUGCAGUGGAUUCUUCACUACGAGAACAACAACUUUUACUCCCACACCCAGGGCACCUGCGAGUUCCAUACGCCGAUCAGAUCAAAGGAGCCGACAUAGUAUAUAGGAGGGACAAGAGCACAGCCUGAUCAGAUGUACCUAGACCAUAGAAGCCUUUACACCACUAACCAUCAGGUGUAACGUCGUCAAACGGAACAAUGUCAGAGAGUAGUCAACCUUCUUCUAUUUCAAUGUGCACCAAAACAACUCAGCUGCUAUCAGUGAAUACUCCUAAGAAGAAAAAUUUAAGGACCCACGUUCGUGAACUGGAGAUAAAAUGCAAGCAGUUAGAAGAAAAUAUGAAUGCAAAUACCAAACAUAUUUCAGAAAUGAUUAAAUCUGUAUGUCAAGGACAAGCUUUUUCCACUGUGCCAAUUAAAAAAAAAAAAUUGAGAAUGGCCAUAAAAAACGGCGAUUAUAACAUUAUUUGUUAUGUAAUACAAUAUUUACAAAUUGUAUAAUUUUGUUUAAUCCUGACAAACAUAAAUUGAGAAAUACUGAAAAAUUAUAUUUUAUUUUAUUUGACGCUUAUGUGCCAUUCAAUAACAUUGAAUGUGCCGCAGUUUGGCAAACCCUGCUGUAGAUCAUUUCAAUGAAGUUGUUGAUGUUGAUUUUCCACCCAACUUGGGAAUGUUGAUGAAAAAUAAUUAUGUUAAAUUAGCCAACAGAAAACCUCAAGGUUAUCAUUAUAAAAUUUUAUAACUAUAAUUAUAUAACUAUAUUAUAUAACUAAAAUAGUUAGCACUUACAAUUUAUUUUUUUGGACCCAUUGUAUACAGAUUUUUAAAAAAAACAUUUUACAACUUCCUACACCUAGAACAUUGCGAGGAAUCAAACAGAAAAUUGAAAUUGGGACAGGAUUAAAUGAUGUUUUAUUUGAUUCUAUUGAACUUAAAUUCAAAAAUUUUAAAGAAGAUGCAAGAGACACGCAGUUGCAGCGAGUAUGCGUACGUAUGCAUAGCUGUUUUGAGUAUGGUACGUUACCUCAUGCUGCUGAGACUCCUGUCAAUUUCAUACAGUAUAUGAACUCCAAAACAAAAGCAGCAAGUAAAGAAUUAAACCUACCAUUCAAAAACAAUACUAACCAGAGAGAUCUUUUAAUCAUGAUGUUAAGUAUUUUUAAUAAUAUGCGUGUUCUUAUUACUAAAAUUGUUGAUAGAAAUAUUACAUAUAAGGAUGUUUCGCAACACAUGAAGUUUAUAAAUGGAUGGAAAAUUACAAUCAAUUCAUUGCUGUAGUUAUGGGAAUUGUUUGGAAGACAUGGAUGAAAUAUUUACAAACAUUGGAUAUACAGCAACACUUACACUCAAUAAUUCAAAUCUAUUAUUUCCAGAGAUGAAUGCACAUUUUUGUAACAAUUUGAAAGUUGAAAUUUUAGAUUAUAGAGAGCUGGAAUUUACUUCUAGAAAUGCUCUUUCGUAUGUUAGUGGUAAUUUUAUAAAAAAAUGUCUAGAUAAACAUAUUACUUGUUAUACUUGCUUGAAUUUUUCCAAAGUCAAAAUAACAUUGAUGAAUAUUUUUUAUGUACACAAUUUUAAGGCUUAUCAAAAUGAACUAAAAACAGAUUAUGGACACUUAAAUGUACCUUCACACACUUUUCUCAAUUAUAUUAAUGAAUUAGAUAACAUUUUUACAGACAACUUUUCUACAUUUGUUAUAGAAGAUAAAGUAGAGUGGAAAAUAAAAAAAAUUGUUGAAAAUGUCCAAAAUUUGAUUUAGAAUUUCUUAAAAGCUUUUUUGUACGGUUAGAAUCUUUCAUGCUAUUAAACAAUUAAAUAAAAAUUUUCUAUUGACUCCUAGAAAAUAUAGAAAAUUAGACAUUCUUCCUCAUUGAUAAUAAAUGUAUUAUGUUUAAAUUAUAUUAUAUGACAAUUAUUAUUAUUUUUUGAUAUGAUAACUAAUGUUUUGCAUAAUUUCACAAAUUCAUUACUAUUUAGUUUUACUGUAAUGGUACAUAAAAUAAUAUUUUGUAAACUUAAUUAUGUUUGUGAAUAUUGUUAUAGUAUUAUUAUUAAUAUAAGAUUGUUAUUCAUUAUGUCAACUUGAAAUUUGUAUUAGAAACUUUUUAAAACUAUUAAAUGUGUAACUAUGUUAUUAUAUUUUGAUUUGAUAAA